rnacentral:rRNA from 1 species
CGGAUGUAGUCUGCAACUCGACUACAUGAAGCCGGAAUCGCUAGUAAUCGCGGAUCAGAAUGCCGCGGUGAAUACGUUCCCGGGUCUUGUACACACCGCCCGUCACACCAUGGAGUCGGAAAUGCCCGAAGUCAGUGACCCAACCGAGAGGAGGGAGCUGCCGAAGGCAGGUCUGGUAACUGGGGUGAAGUCGUAACAAGGUAUC